AACACUGACCAAGACAAGGAGCUGGGUUACAUUAGCUGCUAAAAAUCAAAUAACUAGUAAAGACUGAAGCUCAGACACUUCCAGACAAGUGUGUGAUUGCCAGCACGUGUGGAGAACCAGAAGAAUCAGCAACUAACCUGACAUGCAUGUCUGUGGACUGUGGGAGGAAGCUGGAGUACCAAAGGACGAAGAAAGACAGGGAGAACAUGUAAAAUGUGAAACAGUUGGUCCAGGAGUAGCUGUCCUAAGAGUUCUAAGGAAAAGACAAGAUAACGAUGGAGCAAGAGGUGAGGAAGGUAGCCAUAUGGCGGGUAUUUAUCAGCCGAUGGCUGCCAGAGUGAUUAAAUGUGAGCUGAAGGUGAAGCUGCAGACGGCUGAGAGAGAGAGAGCAGGGCCUGAUGCCUGGGGUCUGGUACCAGGUUGUUCAUCAUCUCCCUUAAAGGAAGGUCAACAGUCCAAUGAAUCACACUCACCACCAAACUUACAGCUUGUUCCCUGUUAGCUUUACUGCAUUUUCCUCCAGUUCUCAAUGUUUAGCUGGAAUCUAAUCCACUCCCUGUGUCCUUGCGUGAGCAUCUUUACAAGAGAUUUGAAGCAUCCAAGACACCAAAGUCUCUUAAUUCCAAUAAUCUUUCAUAUUUUUCCUAGAUGUGACCAGAAAGGACUGCUGACGUCAGUAAAGCUAUAUGUCAGCAGUAGUGAGCUGGUGGUAUGACAGACACAUAAUGGGAUGGACAGUAACCAGAAUUAAAUCAGAAGUAUGAAGCCUGUUCCAAGAUUUGUCCUGAUGUCAGCAGCAGCUGACGCAACAAUAUAACAGUUUACAGCAUGCAUGCGCUAGAAAGACAGUAGAACACUUCUGUGUGUAUGUUAAGAGGGUCACAGUGUUUCUUAGCUGCACUGUGGGACAUUUUUAAAGAGCGUAGACUUUUUAUACAUUUAUUCAACUGAGAAGAGAGGGAUUUGGCCUAGAAUAGUGCAGACUAUGCAAAAUUUGACAAGAGAACUCAUGUUUGAAGAAAAGUAAUCCCCCUUCAUGUAAAAAUAAGGAGAAAAACAUUCUACAUGGAUGUUUUUUAGACCAUGGUACACUCGGGUAUUAAAAAUUGGUUGAAUAUAUGAAAUAUACAAGUUUUGAGGUAUCCUUAAUUUCUUUAUAUUUUGCUGGGAAAAUGAGGACCUGGUGCAGAAAUGUAUUCAAACAUGUCUAAACAUACAUGGAUAUACAGUAUAGAAGGCAAAAGGCUUCAAAGUCAAUAUCUGGCACGACCAUCAUUGAACUUGAACUCUCUUUCAAGCUUUCUUGAAAUUUCUUUAAUGAGUUUUCAGGAAUAGUUUCUUGAUGUACAUUGAAAGCUCUUCUUUGGAUGUUGGCUGGUUUUUGUUCUGUUCUCUGUCAAGAUGAUCCUGUUGUGCCUCUCUCCUGACCACCGUACAGCAUAUACCAAUGACAACCAAUAAUUUCAAUUUGGAUUCAUAUCAGACCUCAGUAGCAGACUUCAAUAAGGUCUGCUGCCACUGAUUUUAGGUCCAAUUCUUGUGUAAUUUGGCAUAACUCAACCUUUUCUCCCCGUUUCCCUUCCUUAUGAUGGUUUCUUGACAGCCAUCCUUCUUUUCUGAUGAGGCUUGAGUAAACAAUGCAUUGAGGGCCAGAUACAGCUCUCAGGUCCUGUGUCAGGUGUUUACUAGAUUUAAAUAGAUUUAUUUAUUUCAGAUACAGCUCGUCUGCUGUAGAUAGUUUUUAAGCCGGCAACUUUUUUUCCU